GUGAGGAAUAUUGGACAAUGGGCGCAAGCCUGAUCCAGCCAUGCCGCGUGCAGGAAGACGCAUCUAUGGUGUGUAAACUGCUUUUGUACGGGAAGAAACACUCCCUCGUGAGGGAGCUUGACGGUACCGUAAGAAUAAGGAUCGGCUAACUCCGUGCCAGCAGCCGCGGUAAUACGGAGGAUCCAAGCGUUAUCCGGAAUCAUUGGGUUUAAAGGGUCCGUAGGCGGUAUAAUAAGUCAGUGGUGAAAGCCCAUCGCUCAACGAUGGAACGGCCAUUGAUACUGUUAGACUUGAAUUACAAGGAAGUAACUAGAAUAUGUAGUGUAGCGGUGAAAUGCUUAGAUAUUACAUGGAAUACCAAUUGCGAAGGCAGGUUACUACUUGUGGAUUGACGCUGAUGGACGAAAGCGUGGGGAGCGAACAGGAUUAGAUACCCGAGUAGUCC
rnacentral:rRNA from 1 species